CUGCCUUCAUGGUUGUUGGUGCAGUUUGUCCGGUGACUCUUUCUUCCUGUGCACCCCUUUUCACUCUGGAACCAGAGCCCAGAAGAAGACUGCUGCUUUGAGAUGUGGCAGAUGUCCCGCCCUUUAGAAUGUCACUUGUGGAGCACUAGCCAAUAGAAAUGCAAGUGUUACAUAGUGAUGUCACAGAAAUAAACAAAGGAAUCCCAUGGAGGUGUUAUAGGCAGGGAGAAAAAAUCCCUCUGGAGGGAACUUUGGGAUUUUAGCCCGUGCAGACCAUUUACACUUACACAAAUCUGUAUAACACACUAAAAGGUGACCCCAAAAGGCCUAACAGUACCUCUUUAAAGUCAAAUUUGACUUAUAGUUUUCUUGCAAUGGUGGUGACCUAGAUUCAUUUUUUCUCAUGCCU